rnacentral:rRNA from 1 species
UGCGUAGGCGGCGCGGAAAGUUGGGUGUGAAAUCCCUCGGCUUAACCGAGGAAUGGCGCUCAAAACUACCGUGCUUGAGGAAGACAGAGGUGAGCGGAACUUAGGGUGGAGCGGUGAAAUGCGUUGAUAUCCUAAGGAACACCGGUGGCGAAAGCGGCUCACUGGGUCUUUUCUGACGCUGAGGCACGAAAGCCAGGGUAGCGAACG